GCCCAGCGCUGGCUAAGUGCAGGAGGGGAGGUUGCUGCUGUGUCGGUGGUGUCUCCCCUCAGGGGAAGGACACAGCUCCAGCUCCUGGGUCAAGCUGCUAGAAACAUGGUGAUGCAAGAAGAUGCCAUCCUGCACUCGGAAGAUAGUCUAAGGAAAAUGGCCAUAAUAACCACUCAUCUACAGUACCAGCAGGAAGCAAUUCAGAAGAAUGUCGAGCAAUCGUCAAACCUACAGGACCAGCUGAAUCACUUGCUAAAAUGAAGCACAGCCAAAAUCACAAGGACGUCUUGACCGCUGCCGAGGGCAGCCAGCGAUCUUUUCCCCUCCUGAGUCAGCUAUUCCGUCCUCUGGCUGGAUGGGGCUGAAUGUCAGCUGGGAUGUAUGCAGAGUGUGUUUCUGAGCGUUUGUGCCCCUCUCAUGUGUUCCCAUCCACAUCUCUAGAACGCGUGCCUGCUUGCCUGCAUCUAAUCAAAACAGACUUAGCGGGAACUCUCCUUCCCCCAACAAUUCCUCGGGCUCGUUUACUCUCUUUAUGUAGCGUGAAGUGCUCGAUCCACACCAGCACCCCAGGCACCCACGUCGUUCAGCUAGCGGAUCACUGGCCGUAUGUCUGAAAUGGUUGGCCAGCUCAGAAUCCAGCAUGUAAUACUCCUUCUGUCCAAGGUCUUAUGUCUUCCAUGACCAUAAUAGGAUGAUUUUCCUUCCUGUCUCUAACCUCUGCUCAGUUAGGAGCUGUCUCCUGUGAGAGGAUGGAAGCGAGGUCGUUAUGUCUGCCCAGGACUAGGAAUCAUAGAGCCAGGUUUUUCAGAUGCGUUUGUUCCCCCCACACUCCUUCCCCCUUCUGCCCCCCCCCAAAAUGCAGAAUAUAGAGCUGUGGGUUUUAAAUACAGGUGCCUGCAGUUUGACACUGGUCCUUACUGGGGCACAGAGAUGAUCCGUGCAAUUUAUUUAGGGCAUGUUAGUCAGUGGAAGCUGUAAGUGGGAGCUCUGGUGGGUGAGAGGCGCUUCAGCGCUGGCUGAGGUGCCAGUCCCAGGGCAGAAUUUUUAAAAGCAGGAAUCUGGGCACGCACCCUCUGUCAGUGGUGCAGCUGGAUACUGUUUGACGAGCAUCCUGCUCUGAGGUUAUCUUGUUUUCCACAAAGCCAGGGUUUGGAACGUCCUCCCCUUGCCAGCCCAUCUGCACUGCCUUUGGCCUUCAACUGCAUUCCUAUUCCUGGGUUGCUGCUCCAGCUCUCGAUUGAGCAGCCUUGGAUGUGUUCUGUGUUUGUAUGGGACCGGGAAGGUAUCCAAAGGCACAGCUGGGAAGCGGGUAGUGGGGGGAAAAAAGGCAAAAACAAACAAAAAAAAACCUGGAAGCCUAUAUAUUCACUUCUGAACUGUUGUGUGUAUGAGGAUUAGCAGCUGGGCUCCUGUUCACUUCCCAGGGAGCAAGAUUGGGUCCAGGCUAUAAAUAUUGUGUCUGGUUUUUGUAAGUCACUUAUCUGGAGCACUUGGAGCACACUGGAAGCACUUCACUGCCUGAGUGUGCUUUUCAUCAGCUGAUAUGACAAGGCAGAUGGAUAGCGGGAGAUCAGCCUGCCACGUUCCUGUUGUAGAUCUGCAGCGAAGUGCUGCAAGGUUUCUGUUCCCACAUGGCAGAGCGUUUUCUAGGGCUAGUUUUACUCUGGUUGCUAUCCCUUCCACUGCUGCUGCCUCUUUGAGCCUCACCUUGUGGCAUCCCAUCUCCUGUGUCCGCAUGAAGGUACCACUAUUGGCCCAGGCUAAUCUAAUCAACCCAGCAGUACUGUUAGCUUAUCCUCUGUGCUGUGCCUGUGCUCUAACAUGGACAUGCCAGAGGAGGGUGU